CAGAAUUUCAGCAUUUGCUACUUACUGGUAGAGAAGAAAAAUUCCACAGAACUGCCAGUACAGCACUUCAGAGGCUACCUACAAACAUGGUCUUGUCCAGCUGUUUUAUCUUACAUCAGAGUUACUGCUCUGCCUCUAUUUUAAUUCUGCCCUAUUCCAUAUUCCCAGAAAUUCUGGUAUUUUAUUUCUAUUGUGUAGAAUGUUUUAUACCUUAAAAUAGGAAAGAUUCUCUGUGAAUGAAUAAAAGAUGCAGCUUUCUCUGGAAUGGCUGCAUACAUUUAUUUCUAUUUUAGACUUUGUAUAUCUCAUCUCUGCAUAUCAGUAGAAGAGAUGAAAACCUUUUCUGUGCUGUAGGCAUGAAGCAGAGAUCAACAGCAGGAUGGGUUGUAAGAUUGUGCUUUAAUUCAUUUGUGAGGCCAUGAUGUCCCACUCUGAAUUUGAGGGGCUUUUGAUAUCACUGGUGGGUAAUUACUUAGUCAGCAGUGGGAAGGUCAUAGUUAUGUGGUAGCUGAACAGACACUUGAGUUUUCCCAGCUCAUCUGAAGGGUCUAGAAUGGGUUUAUGAGUGACUUGCCACUUCCAGCAGAAUUGCUUGGUUUAGGGUUCCAAAAUCUUGAGCAGUGCUGCAGAAUUCAUCAUAAAAACAUGCACAGUUUCAAGGCAAUUGUAUCUUCCCACAUUUCAGAAUAGUUACUCUUGCAUCCCAUUGCCUCUUAUCUUCUCUACAUCAGUUCUUGGUAAUUUACACUAAAUUGCUUUAUCCUCAAAAUGAGCUGCAGGCAAAUUUUGGACUAAUGUUGCAUAGGUUUUUCUUCCUAGAAGGGGGAAAAUUGUAUAUCUUAAUUAUAUACAAUAUACCUUAAUAUUUACAAAUUAGCUUUAUCUCUCUUUGCUUAAUCUUAAUUGCAGGUAUGCAAGAAUAAAAGGGAAACCUUGUUGUGAGGUUAACCCUGGUAACAGAAUGUGUCUGUAUUUCUUACACCAUCUGUGGCUGACCCUAGCUGAUGCUAGCAUUAAUGCAAUGCUCAGUACUAAGUUGGAGUGAGUAAAUGCUUUUGGCUGCUCAAUUACCUUAUCAAGUCCUGGUUUUGGCAGUGGCUGGAUGCAGACUUGCACUACUUUUACCCUGGCCUGGCAGUCAGUGGGGGAUAACUAAAGGGCAGAGUGUGUUCCAUAGUAUCUUAACAAAGAAAAAGUGCAUUUCUCCAGGAAAGAUUGUAGUAGAACUCUUUGUGAAAUUUUAAAUGGCAGUUACUUAUGGUACUUUUUGGUAGAAUAAAGUUUAUUUUCUUUUGAGAUAGGACCAAAACAAGACUGGAAAUUUGAACUUUGAUUACCAGGUAAACAGUGUUAAAUUGUAGCUCAACUUCUGACACACCAUUAGAGCAGCUGUCCAUUGUGAAGUGGUUCAGCAGUCAUCCCUCCCAGUUCUGGUACUGUGUAUUUGGAACAGUUUGUCAUUUUCCACUUUUUCCUUAGACUCUUUGCUGACUCCCAGUUGCCCUUUUAGAGUUUCUGGUCACUGUGCAGCAAACUCAAAAUAAGCAAACUCCAAGCUGGUUUUAGUACCUUGAUAAAGGACCUGGAAGCACAUGAGUGAACAGUGUCCCCUCUCGGUAGCAGUAUGGCCACAGAAGUUAGUGUCUUGUGAAGGGCUUUUUUCUGUAACUUAACUGAUACUGCUUUUGUGUUAAGUGGUAUGAAAGGGCUGGGAUUACUGAUCUUUUUCAAAAGACAGGUGGUGGCAAAAUACUGGUGUUGAAUUUAAUUCAAGAAAGUGAGAGACUGGUAAGUAUGUGCAUCACUUUAAUGCAUGCAAAUAAUAGUAACAAUAACAAGCUUAAUUUUAUAGCAUUCACUUUACAAAGAAGAUUAAAAGAAAAUGUGGAGCUGACAUGAUUUGCAUCCACUGGGAACCCUCUCUUGAACUGUUCUUCAGGAAUGGGUCAUUGCACACACAGCCAUCUGUAAUGUGUGACAUUUUGUAACAGUCUCUGAUUAAACAGAAGUGAACCACU